AUACUGUACGCAAUGGCAAUAACCAUUUGCAUGAUGACUAUAUAUAAAAUACAUCAAGCCUCAUCUUCACUUAUGAUAUAACAAACCAAAAAAAAAACAAAAAUCCAAAUAAAAAAAUGUCUCCUCUAUUUUCAUCUUCCUCGCGUAAGAUCCUUUUUCUUGUAGCCAUAUUAGUUUGUGAAUCAGCGACGACAACAAUGGGUAGUCCGUAUAAAUACUGCGCACAUGUGCUUGACGACUUCACUCCAUGCUUUGUAUUUUUAACGACGGCGGAUAUUAAAAUGCCAACAAAGGAGUGUUGUGUUGGCAUUAAAGCACUGAAUCGAAGAGCCAACAGAAAAAAAAGUGGUCCCAAGAAAAUUUGCCAAUGCAUUGGCGCUGUGGCUUAUAAGAUGAGACUUAAAUUCGUUCCCUCUCAAAUUGUUUCUCUUCAAAAAAAUUGCAAGAUCAAAUUGAGUUUUCCGAUUUCUAACGACAUAAAUUGUCCCAAGUAAAUAUAUGUGUGUAUAUUCAUCAAAAAAUAUAUGUGGAUCCGUCCGGCUUGCCUGAGAAUUAUAUAUGGCAUACGAUAUAUGAUAAAUAAGAGGAGGAUUAAUCCACCAUACAAGUAUAAGAUUUUGUAAUAUAUAAGCCUAGCUUAUUGCCUCAAUAGACUUCAAUGAUAUUAAGAAAAUUGUAACAUGUUUAUAUAUACUUGUGAUGUUUGCAACUUUUCUUUUUUAGUAAAUGGUCAUCGCGGUUGCUGAA